rnacentral:tRNA from 1 species
CUGCGCGCGCAGGUGGCAAAGCUCCAGAGCGAGAAGGCCGCGCUCGCGGAGCAGCUCGCCGAC